GUCAAAGAAGUCAGUGGGGGGUGUCAGGCUUGGAAGGGUCCUCCACAGGGGCCUGUCACUGCCCUUACCCUCUGGUCUUCCCCAGCCAGGCUCCCUUCUGUACCAUGGGAUGCCUACUUUGCUCCUCUGGGCCCUGCAGGGACUUCCCAGAGACUCAUGCUAGGGCUGCUCCUGACCCCCCAGGAAGCCAGGCCCCGGAGGAUGGGGUGGGAGACCUCAGAAUUUGGAACAGUGUGUUCCCAGCAGAAUCACCCCACUCGUGAAAAUUUUGUUUGAGUAGAUAUGAGAUAGAGCCUGGUACCUGUUUCUUCUCUCUUCUCUCUUAACAUUUAAAGUCAAUUUUAUUGAGAUACAAUUUACAUGCAGUGAAAUACACUCAUGUUAAGGGUGCUUGCUCAGUGGAAUUUGACAAACAUACACGUCUGUAACCACCGCCACACUAGAGCUAUAGAAAAGGUCAUUACUUGGAAAUCUCUCUCAAGCCCUUUACAGCCAAUUCCCUGAGCCCAGCCUCAGGCAAGCACUGGUCAGCUGUCUGUCACUAGGGAUGAGUUUUGCCUGUUACAAAUGUCCUAUAAGUGGGAUCUUACUGCAUGUUUUUUUCUUUUUUGUUGUUGUUGUUGUUGUUCUUUUAGUCUGGCUUCUUUCACUUGGCAUUUGCGUUUUCUCUAAAUUGUUGCAUAUAUGUGUCAUUCGUUGCAUUUUACCGCCGAGUUGUCUCAUGGUAUGAAUAUGCCCCACUUUGUUUAUCUCUUCACCAUUUGGCUAUUGUGAACAAAGCUCUUAUGAACAGUCACAGCUGAUCUUUGUCUUUGUGUGGGCACUGGUUUCUCUUGGGUAGAUACCUCGGAGUGGAAUUGCUGGAUCAUAAGUGGUGAGAUGGCUUAGGUGAUUUAAUAAAGCUCCAUGAAGAAAAAAAAUAUAUACUUAUAUUGGCAUAAAGAGAUUCUUGUUAGAUAUGCAAGAAAUGAAUGAAUGUGGUUAUUACUUGGAAUGUUAGGAUAGGGGAAGGCUGGGCAGAUGGAGGGCAGUAAAGGAAGUGGGAGUCUUCACUGUAGAUCUUUUUAUAUUUUGAAUGUUUUGAGCCAGGCAACUGUAUUCAAGUUUUUUGUGGUUUUUUUUUUAAUGUAAAAGGUUCUUCCAAGUGAUUCUGAGGUGGAGGUUUUCCCUGUUUGGAAACUGCCGGUCAGGCUGCUGUUUUCUUCUGGACUUAGGGCCCAGAGCACAGGGCAAGGCUAACCAAUGUCACUGGCUAGUUAGAGGCAAAAGUGGCUAGUUUCAGCACCUGACAUGUUGGCAGAAUGUUUUACAGCUUCCCCUCCAGUGAGCUUACUCACUGAAUCCUCACCAGGAAAGAGAUUUUCUCCCCAUUUUACAGGUGGAGAAAGGGGCUCGGAGAGGACAAGCAACUUGCUAGAGCUUGGAGGCCCUUGCAGGCUUCUGGGUCUCAGCUUGGGGUCCAGCAAGGCCCCUGCAGCUCCUUCUGGUUUUAUGGUGGCUUCAUGAGCCCCUCCACCCAAAGCACAUUCAGUGUGAUGUUAUCUCAGGAAAUGUGGGAGAGACGUCUGUGGUGAAAUGAGGCUGGAAACUACUGAGUUAAAAAACAUAUCACAGUUUUUCACUGCAGGGCUUCUCAGGACCUUUACUAGACCAGUGUACACUGAGUCUCCAGUGGGUGAUAUGCUGUUGCCUACCCUUAUCCGACAUGUUUCAUGGAAUCCUGCUUGGGAGCCACUAACUUCUAGGAUAAAGUCCAACCUUGAAGGCAGGAUAUUCAGCACACUUUGCAACCUGGGGCAGCUUCUUUCUGCAGCCUCAGCUGGAAAUUUCUGACCGGGAGCAUCCGGCAGGACUGAGUAGGAAGCAGGACUUUGCAAGGCAGGAAGUGACUGCAGAAACAAGAGGAGGCGUCAGGAAGUGAAGCUUCCCCCUGGCUCCCUGCUCCCCACCUAGAACAAAGGCCUUGUCUGCCCUGCCCCCUCGGCGUCUUGGGGUUCAUGGGCAGGGAUCUAACCUUACCCGUUGUAACCAAACAGGGAAGUGUUGGAUUGAGGGAUGAUGCCGGGACCUCGCUGGCCUAUUCUGAGCACACAGCCCAUCAACGAUAUUAUCUUCUGCCAUCUGAAAGCCUAUGGAUUUUCCCAAAUGUCCCUGGCCUGGGGUUCCGGAUGAGGGUUUGUGCUCCCGGACAGGGGAGAGUCACCGUUUCUCUCGAAGAUUCUUUGUGCCCAUUCUCCUCUGUGGGGGCCCCAGGGUGGCUGGAGUUCAAGGAGAAAAGCCCCAGCGUCCUCAGCAGGACUCCACAGCCCCUCCCCAGUGUGCUGCCCAAUGUGCCUUUGGCCCCUCUGCCCAGAGCGGUCCUCCUCAGGCCCAUGGCGCACCCACUCACUUCCUGCAAGGCAUCUGCUCAAAAGUUUUCUUCCCAUGAGAGCCCCUUCUCCCUCCCUAGGUACAGCAUGGCCCCCAGCACUCCCAGGCCCCCAACCCACCCACUCAUGCCCUGGCACCCACACAAUCCCUGGCUAGCUAGACUCUGGUCUGUGUCCCCAUUGCAUCCUGACUCCUAUGCUGGGUCCACCAGGGCAGGGAUAUGAUGUUCCCUGCUGUGCGUGGUGCCUAGCACAUACUGGUGGGCAAUAACCACUUGCUGUCUGGAUGAAUGAAUGAACCAGAUUGAAUGAUCCCAGUUAUCCUUUGAGGUGGAGAUAUGGUUGUCUGCAUUUUACAGAUAAGACUCAAGAGAUGUUCUUGUCACUUGUGAGUAGCCCAAAUCAAACCCCAAUCUGCAUUACUCCAAAGCCCCACAGGCCUUCACACACGUGUGUGCACACACACACACAACACAGAUGCACACAUGCUUCCACAUGCACCCACACCCAUGCGUGCGCGCACGCACGCACACAUACACACAGUAGAUGUUCUCUCAGUUGUGUCAGACAACAUUGAAGUUCCUCCCUGGUCACUGUGGGAACCCCCCCGAACUGUUGGACUGACAGAGCAGCCGGAAGGGCCAGUGCUAGCCCCUCAGCCCCCAGAUCCCUCCGUUCCCUGGGGAUGGGGAGCUCAGAGCUCUUGAGGGCCUGAUUCUCUGUGCCCAGAGCCAGCAGGGCUGUGGCGCCCUCAGCCUGGGACCGCUGGCCAGGCAGCCUGCUUGCAGUGGAGCCCCUCUUCCAGCCUCUUGGGCCUGUCCUGCCCUUGCCCUGGCCCUGCCGACUUGGAUGAGCCACUUUCCUUCCUGCUUGGCUGGCUCCUUCUACCAUUCGGGUCUCCAAAGGGACAUCCCCUCCUCAGAGAGGCCCUCCCUGCGUGGCCAGCCCCUUGGACUGGGAUGGCCCCUCAGUGGACUCGGUCAUUGGGUCCCAGCUAUUGUUGUUUCCUUUGUCAUCUGGUCACAAUAUAUAGAAAUUUGUAAACAUCUCAGUGCCCCCUCCAUAAGUGGGGACUCCUGUCCUGGUCACUGCUGUGUCCCCAGGGCUCUGCACAGAACUGGACACAGUAAGUGCCCCGUCCAUGUGUGUAGAUGAAUAAAGGAAUGAAUGACCGCUGUCAGAGGGCUGCAGGAAGGACCUUGGCUAGACCAGCAUCUGGCAGGACUCUCCUCCACCAGGCCCCACCUCAUCUUGUUUCUUGCUGACUCUGAUAAUAAUAAUAAUCAUAAUAAAUAAUUACUAUUG